GGGGUUGUCAGACCUGAUGAUUGAUUGCUUUGGAUGCUUUACAGUUUGGGGCUGAGACACAACAGAGCAAAGUGGCCCCCAGCAGUGCAGCCAGCCGCCCCGUCCUGUCCAGUCGCUCUGACCAGAGCCAAAAGAAUGAAGUUUUUUUGGAUGUGGUCGAGAGAUUGUCUGUACUGAUAGCAUCUAAUGGAUCCCUGCUGAAGGUGGAUGUGCAGGGAGAGAUUCGGCUCAAGAGCUUCCUUCCCAGCGGCUCUGAGAUGCGCAUUGGCUUGACAGAAGAGUUUUGUGUGGGGAAGUCAGAGCUGAGAGGUUAUGGGCCAGGAAUCCGGGUCGAUGAAGUCUCGUUUCACAGCUCCGUGAAUCUGGACGAGUUUGAGUCUCAUCGAAUCCUCCGCUUGCAACCACCUCAGGGCGAGCUGACUGUGAUGCGAUACCAACUCUCCGAUGACCUCCCCUCACCGCUCCCCUUCCGGCUCUUCCCCUCU
rnacentral:sRNA from 1 species